rnacentral:rRNA from 1 species
UUGGAGAGUUUGAUCCUGGCUCAGGAUGAACGCUGGCGGUAUGCCUAAUACAUGCAAGUCGAGCGGAAACACUUCGGGUGUCGAGCGGCGGACGGGUGCGUAACGCGUUGGAAUCUGCCCCAAACUGAGGGAUAAGCCAUCGAAAGAUGGUCUAAUACCGCAUAUGGUCUACGGAUUAAAGCCUUCGGGCGGUUUGGGAGGAUCCUGCGUAAGAUUAGCUUGUUGGUGAGGUAAUAGCUCACCAAGGCGAUGAUCUUUAGCUGGUCUGAGAGGAUGAUCAGCCACACUGGAACUGAGACACGGUCCAGACUCCUACGGGAGGCAGCAGUGGGGAAUAUUGGACAAUGGGCGCAAGCCUG